rnacentral:rRNA from 1 species
CACGGGUGAGUAACGCGUAGAUAACCUGUCUUCAUGUCUGGAAUAAUACGCCGAAAGGGGUACUAAUACCGGAUAUUCUUGCUUUUCAUAAGUUAUGCAAGCAAAGGUGGCCUCUGCAUAUGCUACUGCAUGAAGAGGGGUCUGCGUACCAUUAGCUAGUAGGUGGGGUAAUGGCCUACCUAGGCGACGAUGGUUAGCGGGUCUGAGAGGAUGAUCCGCCACACUGGCACUGGAACACGGGCCAGGCUCCUACGGGAGGCAGCAGUGAGGAAUAUUGCGCAAUGGGGGAAACCCUGACGCAGCGACGCCGCGUGAGUGAGGAAGGCCUUCGGGUCGUAAAGCUCUGUCAAGAGGAAAGAAGUGUACAAUGGCUAAUACCUGUUGUAUUUGACGGUACCUCUAAAGGAAGCACCGGCUAACUCCGUGCCAGCAGCUGC